rnacentral:rRNA from 1 species
AUGCUCUCACCGAACGCGUCUCUUUCAGUUCUGCUAUGGAUUCUAGCUCCAGAGUUUUACCACUCCAUCCCCAUGCCAUUCCUCCAUUUUAUAGUGUUCUAUGGUUUUACAAACCUUUGCAUCGAACGGGGCCUGAAUGUCUUCUUAAGUGGAGAAGUUCUCAAGCCCUACGCCCAAGGAAGCAAAAUAAAGCUUUUUCACUUUGUUCUAUCAAGUAAUUUUUUUUGCAUGAACAUCUCUGAGCUUGACACCAACGCUCAUCACCUGCCUCCGGCACCACGACAGCAACCAUCGAAGAAAAGACGGAUGGAUCACCUCCUCGCCCGAGCUCGACGCGGCUCCAUCACUAAUACGCAGCUUUAUGGACCUCCAAGGUGGCUCAUCAAAAGUGAAGCCCUUAUCGUUUAA